CGUUAUAUCUUGUUGAUGUGAGAUUUUCGAAGUUGAAUUCUGUGUUCUGUUUGGAUCCUGAGAAAUUGUAGGAAAAGGAAGGAAAAUUUUGUCUUUCCUUCUUCUUCUUCUUCUUCUUCUUCUUCUUCUUUUUUAAUUUUGUCUAUUUGGAAUUAUUAUUAUUUUUUCUCAUAAGUUUCUUAGCUCUAGAGAAAAGACAUGUGCUUGAUUUUGAAUUCUUUCUUCAAUGCAAAAAUUUCUAUCUUGGAGCUUUAGAAAUAAGAGGAGCUGGAGAAAUAAUCUCUGUUCUCAAUCAUUUUUCUUGAUACUUUAUUUCUCUUAUAAUUUCAAAGCCCUAUAAGAUAUACAGAUAAAUUGAGUAUAAUUGGUCAUCUUACGGACAGCGGUACCAUGGAAAAUGUAACUGGCUCGCAGUCUAAACCUCAAUGGCAGCAAAGUGGAAAUGAAGAGAAGAAGGCAGCAGUUCAUGAAGAAAUGAAGAGAAUGAACCAACUUCCUGUAAACAGCACUUAUGCUACCCAUCGCCUGCGAGUUCUCAACAAAAUUCUGCAACUUCUAUCCAUUCAGAGGACUGUCUCACAGGAAGAGGAAUUGGAGUUGCUUUUUGCUGGGCUGCAUCUGUGAAAUUGUCUGUGCAAUUGCAGGUGACCCGUGCAAUUUUUUCUUGUAAUCAGGUUAAAUUUGUAACUACUAUAUAUGUUGUGUCUUUAAACUUUGAGCAUUGAUUGCUAUGGCUUUAGGUAUAGCUCCUAGUUAUGUUAGAGUACAUUGUAAGUUACAGAGUUCCAAGUUCUAUGAUGAUGACAAAUUGUUUUUGCUUACAUCAUGUAUAUAGUUUUUUUGUUUC